rnacentral:tRNA from 1 species
GGGUAGUAGCUCAGUUGGUUAGAGCGCCUGCCUGUCACGCAGGAGGUCGCGAGUUCAAAUCUCGUCUAUC